rnacentral:misc_RNA from 1 species
AAAGUCGUAACAAGGUUUCCGUAGGUGAACCUGCGGAAGGAUCAUUAACAAAUCAUGUUGCAUGUCGAGCCCGCAAGGGACCUCGUACAUGUAUAUAUACCCCGAGUCUGAUGAUCCUCACGGAUUGUCGGCUUUGGUUGGGCAAGCUAGGCUUUCGGGCCUGGACUGCUCCGGACAGUGUACUUGGAGACGCCUUUAGGGGUGGACUUUGGGUGCCUGGCCACAUAGACGCUUAUUAGUUUGACAGAGUUUAGGUUGAAACCAAUAAAAAUGACAACUUUUAACAAUGGAUCUCUUGGCUCUU